GAUGAACGCUGGCGGCGUGCCUAAUACAUGCAAGUCGAGCGAACAGAUAAGGAGCUUGCUCCUUUGACGUUAGCGGCGGACGGGUGAGUAACACGUGGGUAACCUACCUAUAAGACUGGGAUAACUUCGGGAAACCGGAGCUAAUACCGGAUAACAUUUGGAACCGCAUGGUUCUAAAGUGAAAGAUGGUUUUGCUAUCACUUAUAGAUGGACCCGCGCCGUAUUAGCUAGUUGGUAAGGUAACGGCUUACCAAGGCAACGAUACGUAGCCGACCUGAGAGGGUGAUCGGCCACCCUGGAACUGAGACACGGUCCAGACUCCUACGGGAGGCAGCAGUAGGGAAUCUUCCGCAAUGGGCGAAAGCCUGACGGAGCAACGCCGCGUGAGUGAUGAAGGGUUUCGGCUCGUAAAACUCUGUUAUUAGGGAAGAACAAACGUGUAAGUAACUGUGCACGUCUUGACGGUACCUAAUCAGAAAGCCACGGCUAACUACGUG
rnacentral:rRNA from 1 species